GAACCUAAGUCAUAAUUUUUAGGACCACAACCUAAUAUUUUAUUUAAAUUAUUUAGUU
rnacentral:tRNA from 1 species